AAUCUCAAUCCCCUUGGGUCUCUUGAUCUGGGGUGGACUUGGACCUGGGUGUCUGCCGUUUGUCGGCUUGCCUCAAAUGACUUAGUGGGAUCAGCAUCCACGGCCUGACGUGAUAAGUUUCGUCUGGCAUGGUGUGAGGCCCGCUCAUAACUGCCCCUUGUGGCGCUCUUUUGGA
rnacentral:misc_RNA from 1 species